rnacentral:rRNA from 1 species
AUUGACCGCUGGCGGCAGGCCUAACACAUGCAAUUCGAACGAGUGGCGGAAGGGUGAGUAAUGUCUGGGCAACUGCCUGAUGGACGGGGAUACCUACUGGAAACGGUAGCUAAUACCGCAUACCAUCGGAUGUGCCCAGAUGGGAUUAUCUAGUAGGUGGGGUAACGGCUCACCUAGGCGAAUAUCCCUAGCUGGUCUGAGAGGAUGACCACACACACUGGAACUGAGACACGGUCCAGACUACUACGGGAGGGAGCAGUGGGGAAUAUUGCACAAUGGGCGCAAGCCUGAUGCAGCGAUGCCGCGUGUAUGAAGAAGGCCUUCGGGUUGUAAAGUACUUUCAGCGGGGAGGCGUUACCCGAAGAAGAAGCACCGGCUAACUCCGUGCCAGCAGCCGCGGUAAUAC